UACUUCCCUAACCUUUUGUUUUACUUUACCCCACUCCCUCUAGCAUGCAAGCACAGACUCCAAACACAGAGAGAGAGAAACACUGUUUGUGACAGACUGUCCUUCAGAUGCCCUUAAAGUAACACUCUAAGCAUCAUAGAUACUUCAGCCCUUUGUUAAGAAAUCAACGCAUGGCACUACUGGCACCAUAACCACUACAUAAAGCUAUAGUGGAUAAGGUACUUGGAGUGUCCCUUUAAUAAUAUAAAC